ACCACCGGACUGCUCCACUCUGAGUUGGACGGCUCGAUGACACCUAGCUCCAGCAUCUUCCUCACCUCAUCGUUCAGCCUUCCCACCAACUUCUGUGGUACCCGAUAAGGCCGUUGCCGGAUUGGUCGUCCAUCUUUGAGCCGUAUGGAAUGGCUAAUGAGUGUAGUUCUUCCUGGCUGUGCAGAAAAAAGAGAUGGCGUUUCACGAAAUAAGUCCAUUAUCUGUGUAGUCUGUUCCGGAGGUAAAUGUGACAGAGACGGAGGGGUUGAGUGAGUCAGUGCUCCCAGAUCAGAGUCCAAGUCUUCCUCAGUCUUCACAGCCCUGACUAGCAAAGACUUCUCUGUUGGAUGGUUAGCACCUUCCUUCCACUCUUUAAGUAGAUUCACGUGGUAUGUCUGCUUUUCUUUCUUUUUGUCAGGAUGGUGCACCUCAUAGGUGACAGGUCCCAUCCUGCGGAGAAUGGUGUAUGGCCCUUGCCACUUUGCCAGUAGUUUGCUGGUACAAGAGGGAAGAAGUAGCAGAACCUUCUGACCUGGACAAACUGGAUCACACCCCUUUCUGAGGUCUUUGUGGAUUUGGCCUCCCAGCUCUUCUUGAGGAGAUCCAGUGGGCCUUGGACAUCCCAGCCAUAGAGGAGUUCGAAUGCAUCCUCUUCAGGGUCUGGUUGAAACGUUCCACCAAGCCAUUGGUCUGUGGGUGGUACGGUGUCGCCUUGAUGGCAGUGAUGCCAAGCUGCUGUUGGAACAGUUUCAUCAACCGAGAGGAGCUGUAAUGGUGCGCAGGGGAAAAGCUUCUGGGAACCGUGUAGCAUAAUCACAGACCACCAGGAUGUAUUCGUGACCGCUACUGCUCUUAGGUUUUGUGACGACCCAGGUGACCCGCCCAUGGGAGUGUGUGCGC